rnacentral:rRNA from 1 species
CCCUUAGAUGUUCUGGGCCGCACGCGUGCUACACUGAGUGGAUCAGCGGGUCAGGUUGCGCGAAAGCGUUUCCUAAUCUUUAAAUCCGCUCGUGAUGGGGAUUGACGGUUGCAAUUUUCUGUCAUGAACGAGGAAUACCUUGUAAGCGCGGGUCAUCAUCCCGCGCUGAAUACGUCCCUGCCCUUUGUACACACCGCCCGUCGCUCCUACCGAUUGAGUGGUCCGGUGAGGCUUUGGGAUCUGAGCGGAAAGAGCGUUUCGCUGUUUCUGCUCCGAAAACUCAGUCGAACCUUAUCAUUUAGAGGAAGGAGAAGUCGUAACA